UACGGAGGGUGCAAGCGUUGUCCGGAUUUAUUGGGUUUAAAGGGUGCGUAGGCGGCAUUUUAAGUCAGGGGUGAAAUCCGGCUGCUCAACAGUCGAGUUGCCUUUGAUACUGGGAUGCUUGAGUGCAGAUGAGGCAGACAGAAUUGAUGGUGUAGCGGUGAAAUGCAUAGAUACCAUCAGGAAUACCGAUUGCGAAGGCAGUCUGCUGGGGUGUAACUGACGCUGAGGCACGAAAGCGUGGGGAUCAAACAGG
rnacentral:rRNA from 1 species